rnacentral:rRNA from 1 species
CCUACGGGAGGCAGCAGUAGGGAAUAUUGCUCAAUGGGGGAAACCCUGAAGCAGCAACGCCGCGUGGAGGAUGAAGGUUUUCGGAUUGUAAAAUCCUUUUGUUAGAGAAGAUAAAGACGGUAUCUAACGAAUAAGCAACGGAUAACACCGUGCCAGCAGCCGCGGUAAUACGGAGGGUGCAAGCGUUACUCGGAAUCACUGGGCGUAAAGAGCGCGUAGGCGGGAUAGCAAGUCAGAUGUGAAAUCCUAUGGCUUAACCAUAGAACUGCAUUUGAAACUGGUAUUCUAGAGUAUGGGAGAGGUAGGUGGAAUUCUUGGUGUAGCGGUGAAAUGCGUAGAGAUCAAGAGGAAUACUCAUUGCGAAGGCGACCUGCUAGAACAUAACUGACGCUGAUGCGCGAAAGCGUGGGGAGCAAACAGGAUUAGAUACCCCGGUAAUC